CUAUCUUUUCCUCUUAACACAGCUAUCCUCAAUCUCCAUUCUUCCAAAUCUCACUACCGCCGGUACUUUUCUUUGUCGUCUCAUCUCUUGUGUUUUGGAAUAUUCGAGAAGCAUGAUUGCGAUGAACAUCACCAACACGGCGUUCCUCAACAAUUAUGCUUCGUUUCUCACCCCCUUGUAUUUCAAAAUUUCCAACGAGCUUUUGGCCACUCUCAAAGAUGGAAAAUGUCAAAACCAAGCACCCUCAAUUGUUGACGAACAAAGGUUUCACAACUCAAAGGCAAAUAGGCAUUGAUACUACUAUGAAGAAUUUGAAGUUUUCUCAUUGGCAAAGGAUAAAUACAAGACUAUGGGAUUUGGACUAUUUGGAAGGAUAGAAAUGGUAUAGUUUUUGCUAAUGGAGUGAAGGACCUUUAGCAAACGAGUGCUUUUUAAUGUUGCUGCUGUGUUUCUUUUGCUGGUGCAGCUGGUGCUUGCAAUGUGGAUGUUGGCUACAUUUCAGGGUGUUUGGAAGUUGUUCAUUAGCUUUGCUUUUGUUGAGAACUGCAUGUAUCUGUUGGCCUUCUUGUGCGCUUCAGGGCUUGCAAGGUUAUUUUUUGGUUCUGUGCUUAGUGGUAUGUUGACUGCGUGUCUCGUCAGUUGUGUGGGAUGCUUUUUGUUUUGGUUGAAGCCAUUUUAGAGUUUCUUUCUUAGUAUUUUGGUUUGUGCUAAUUUUUGUAACAGGGAGGGGUUUUAGUGGCUUUGUAGUUUAAUGGUUUUGAGCUUCUUACAAAUUGCAAAUGGCUUUCUAGUUUAGUGGUUUUGGCUUUGUAAAGUUGUUUAGAGCCAUAAUGUAGUAUCAAGUGAUUUGAACUAAGUUGAAGUAAUUUUUAUGUACUAGAAUGCAAUUGAUGGCUUUGAGAGCACUCAAAAAUAACAUUUUCUUUUCAUU